GGAGAAGGCAAAGAACACGAUAUUGUGCUUUUUACAAAUUGAGGUUUGUGGCAGUCCUGCUUCAGCUAUCCACAGCAACCAUUUCACUAUGGACUUCCCUGUACCUUUCUCCUCUACUCUACUACUCCCCGGUGUGGUGCUUAUAAGCAGC